rnacentral:lncRNA from 1 species
AACUUUUGAGGUCCUUUUAUUUGUAAUAUUUAUGACUUCUAAUAAUUUUCUCAACCAUUUAUUUUAUAUUUUGAUCUUUCUUUUGGAUUUUUAAUUUGAUUUCCAUGUUUAAUCAAAUUUAAAAUCAUUUUUGUUUUAUUUUUAUUCAAACUUUUGUUUAGCUUGAUUUGGGCCUUGGUGAUUGCUUAGUUUAUGAUAUCUUAAAAAUUUCAA